rnacentral:rRNA from 1 species
AUUGCACGCUGGCGGCAGGCCUAACACAUGCAAGUCGAACGAGUGGCGGACGGGUGAGUAAUGUCUGGUAAACUGCCCGCUGGCGGGGGAUAACUACUUGAAACGUUAGCUAAUACCGCAUACCAUCGGAUGUGCCCAGAUGGGAUUAGCUCGUAGGUGGGGUAACGGCGCACCUAGGCGACGAUCCCUAGCAGGUCUGAGAGGAUGACCAGCCACACUGGAACUGAGACACGGUCCAGACUCCUACGAGAGGGAGCAGUGGGGAAUAUUGCACAAUGGGCACAAGCCUGAUGCAGCCAUGCCGCGUGUAUGAAGAAGGCCUUCGGGUUGUAAAGUACUUUCAGCGAGGAGGCGUUACUCGCAGAAGAAGCACCGGCUAACUCCGUGCCAGCAGCCGCGGUAAUUC